AGUGAACGCUGGCGGUAGGCCUAACACAUGCAAGUCGAACGGCAGCACAGUAAGAGCUCGCUCUUACGGGUGGCGAGUGGCGGACGGGUGAGGAGUACAUCGGAAUCUACUUUUUCGUGGGGGAUAACGUAGGGAAACUUACGCUAAUACCGCAUACGACCUACGGGUGAAAGCAGGGGAUCUUCGGACCUUGCGCGAUUGUAUGAGCCGAUGUCGGAUUAGCUAGUUGGCGGGGUAAAGGCCCACCAAGGCGACGAUCCGUAGCUGGUCUGAGAGGAUGAUCAGCCACACUGGAACUGAGACACGGUCCAGACUCCUACGGGAGGCAGCAGUGGGGAAUAUUGGACAAUGGGCGCAAGCCUGAUCCAGCCAUACCGCGUGGGUGAAGAAGGCCUUCGGGUUGUAAAGCCCUUUUGUUGGGAAAGAAAAGCAGCAGGUUAAUACCCCGCUGUUCUGACGGUACCCAAAGAAUAAGCACCGGCUAACUUCGUG
rnacentral:rRNA from 1 species